rnacentral:rRNA from 1 species
ACAACAGGUGGAGCCUGCGGUUAAUCGGACUCAACGCCGGGAAACUCACCAGAUAAGACAGCUGAAUGAUAGUCGGGCUGAAGACUCUACUUGACUAGCUGAGAGGAGGUGCAUGGCCGUCGUCAGUUCGUACUGUGAAGCAUCCUGUUAAGUCAGGCAACGAGCGAGACCCACGCCAACAGUUGCCAGCUCGUCCUCCGGGAUGGUGGGGACACUGUUGGGACCGCCUCUGCUAAAGAGGAGGAAGGAAUGGGCAACGGUAGGUCAGCAUGCCCCGAAUUAUCUGGGCUACACGCGGGCUGCAAUGGGUGGGACAAUGGGUAUCGACACCGAAAGGUGAAGGCAAUCCCUAAACCCAUCCGUAGUUCGGAUUGUGGGCUGCAACUCGCCCACAUGAAGCUGGAAUCCGUAGUAAUCGUGUCUCAAAAUGGCACGGUGAAUAUGUCCCUGCUCCUU